UCGAACGGCAGCGAGGAGAAGCUUGCUUCUCUGUCGGCGAGUGGCGAACGGGUGAGUAUAGCAUCGGAACGUGCCAAGUAGUGGGGGAUAACCAAACGAAAGUUUGGCUAAUACCGCGUAAGCUCCAAGGAGGAAAGUAGGGGACCUAGAUAAGGCCUUACGCUAUUUGAUCGGCCCGAUGUCGGAUUAGCUAGAUUGGUGGGGAUAAUGGCUCACCAAGGCAAUGAUCCGUAGCGGGUCUGAGAGGACGAUCCGCCACACUGGGACUGAGACACGGCCCAGACUCCUACGGGAGGCAGCAGUGGGGAAUUUUGGACAAUGGGGGAAACCCUGAUCCAGCCAUGCCGCGUGUAUGAAGAAGGCCUUAGGGUUGUAAAGUACUUUUGUUAGGGAAGAAAAGCUAGUUUUUAAUAAAAAUUAGUGAUGACGGUACCUAAAGAAUAAGCACCGGCUAACUACGUGCCAGCAGCCGCGGUAAUACGUAGGGUGCAAGCGUUAAUCGGAAUUAUUGGGCGUAAAGCGAGUGCAGACGGUUACUUAAGCCAGAUGUGAAAUCCCCAAGCUUAACUUGGGACGUGCAUUUGGAACUGGGUGACUAGAGUGUGUCAGAGGGAGGUAGAAUUCCACAUGUAGCGGUGGAAUGCGUAGAGAUGUGGAGGAAUACCGAUGGCGAAGGCAGCCUCCUGGGAUAACACUGACG
rnacentral:rRNA from 1 species